rnacentral:rRNA from 1 species
CAGAGGGGGCAAGCGUUGUUCGGAAUUACUGGGCGUAAAGGGCGCGCAGGCGGCCUGCUAAGUCGAACGUGAAAUCCCUGGGCUCAACCCAGGAACUGCGUCCGAUACUGGUUGGCUUGAAUCCGGGAGAGGGAUGCGGAAUUCCAGGUGUAGCGGUGAAAUGCGUAGAUAUCUGGAGGAACACCGGUGGCGAAGGCGGCAUCCUGGACCGGCAUUGACGCUGAGGCGCGAAAGCCAGGGGAGCAAACGGGAUUAGAUACCCCGGUAGUCCUGGCCCUAAACGAUGAAUGCUUGGUGUGGCGGGUAUCGAUCCCUGCCGUGCCGAAGCUAACGCAUUAAGCAUUCCGCCUGGGGAGUACGGUCGCAAGGCUG